rnacentral:rRNA from 1 species
GGCCGAUGGCGACCGGCGCACGGGUGAGUAACACGUAUCCAACCUGCCGUCUACUCUUGGACAGCCUUCUGAAAGGAAGAUUAAUACAAGAUGGCAUCAUGAGUCCGCAUGUUCACAUGAUUAAAGGUAUUCCGGUAGACGAUGGGGAUGCGUUCCAUUAGAUAGUAGGCGGGGUAACGGCCCACCUAGUCUUCGAUGGAUAGGGGUUCUGAGAGGAAGGUCCCCCACAUUGGAACUGAGACACGGUCCAAACUCCUACGGGAGGCAGCAGUGAGGAAUAUUGGUCAAUGGGCGAGAGCCUGAACCAGCCAAGUAGCGUGAAGGAUGACUGCCCUAUGGGUUGUAAACUUCUUUUAUAAAGGAAUAAAGUCGGGUAUGUAUACCCGUUUGCAUGUACUUUAUGAAUAAGGAUCGGCUAACUCCGUGCCAGCAGCCGCGGUAAUACGGAGGAUCCGAGCGUUAUCCGGAUUUAUUGGGUUUAAAGGGAGCGUAGAUGGAUGUUUAAGUCAGUUGUGAAAGUUUGCGGCUCAACCGUAAAAUUGCAGUUGAUACUGGAUAUCUUGAGUGCAGUUGAGGCAGGCGGAAUUCGUGGUGUAGCGGUGAAAUGCUUAGAUAUCACGAAGAACUCCGAUUGCGAAGGCAGCCUGCUAAGC